AACGCAUAUUGCACUCAUUUAGAGUAUGCCUGUUUGAGAAUCUAUAGUAAACCUUAUUCCUUUUGUGAUUGUGCAAACAAAAACUUAGCGAAUAGAUAUGAAGCUUCCCUCCUCUUGUAAGAAGGGUACUUUGAAAUAGAUUGCUUGUAAUUUUAGAAGAAUGAUUGACAUUCCUCAUUAACCUUGCAGAAACGUAUGUGAAUGGAACUUUUGUUUCUCAUUAUGCCUAAUAUGUACGGGAGGCAUUUAGUUCGACUGCUAUUAUGAGUUCUUAACCAUAAAUUGUUUAUUCAAUUUGAACACAUGGUCUCAAAUCAGGUAGGAAGACCCGCUGAACUUAA
rnacentral:misc_RNA from 1 species